rnacentral:RNase_P_RNA from 1 species
AAAUGGGCAGUCGCGUACGAAAGUUUUCGUAUGAGGAAAGUCCGGGCAUCGCACGGCAGAGCAACGGCUAACGGCCGCCGAGGGUAACCUUAGGGAAAGUGCAACAGAGAUAUACCGCCGCUUUUGCGGUAAGGGUGGAAAGGCGAGGUAAGAGCUCACCGGCACGCAGGAGACUGCGCGACCAUGUAAACCCUGCUUGAUGCAACACCGACCGGGGAGUUUGCCGGACAGCGAUUUUUUCGCACCCCCGACAGGUGGCUGGAGUUCUGCGGCAACGCAGAAUCGAGAAAGAUGAUUGCCUUAAACGACAGAACCCGGCUUACAGUUUUACC